GCCCAGAUGAGUCCUGGUGGUCCAGGGUACAGGCUUCAAACCUGUAGCCGCUUAGCGGCGGAGUAGUUCGAUUCUACCUUCUGGGU
rnacentral:tRNA from 1 species